rnacentral:tRNA from 1 species
UUUAAAUUAUUUUAUUUAGAAUAUUUAUUUUACACGUAAAUGGACGCUUAUCUUAGCGGUUUAGAC